GAUGAACGCUGGCGGCGUGCCUAAUACAUGCAAGUCGAGCGAACAGACGAGGAGCUUGCUCCUCUGACGUUAGCGGCGGACGGGUGAGUAACACGUGGAUAACCUACUUAUAAGACUGGGAUAACUUCGGGAAACCGGAGCUAAUACCGGAUAAUAUAUUGAACCGCAUGGUUCAAUAGUGAAAGACGGCUUUGCUGUCACUUAUAGAUGGAUCCGCGCCGCAUUAGCUAGUUGGUAAGGUAACGGCUUACCAAGGCAACGAUGCGUAGCCGACCUGAGAGGGUGAUCGGCCACACUGGAACUGAGACACGGUCCAGACUCCUACGGGAGGCAGCAGUGGGGAAUCUUCCGCAAUGGGCGAAAGCCUGACGGAGCAACGCCGCGUGAGUGAUGAAGGUCUUCGGAUCGUAAAGCUCUGUUAUUGGGGAAGAACAAAUGUGUAAGUAACUAUGCACGUCUUGACGGUACCUAAUCAGAAAGCCACGGCUAACUACGUG
rnacentral:rRNA from 1 species